rnacentral:misc_RNA from 1 species
GAUGAAGACGUAGCGAAAUGCGAUAAGUAAUGUGAAUUGCAGAAUUCCGUGAAUCAUCGAAUCUUUGAACGCACAUUGCGCCCCCUGGUAUUCCGGGGGGCAUGCCUGUCCGAGCGUCAUUGCAACCUUCAAGCGCGGCUUGUGUGUUGGGUCUCGUCCCCCGUGGACGGGCCCGAAAGGCAGUGGCGGCGUCCCGACAUGGUGCCCGAGCGUAUGGGAAUCCUCUUCCGCUCGAAUCGGCCCAUGCGGCGCUGGUCGUAACCAAAUUUUUUACCGGUUGACCUCGGAUCAGGUAGGGAUACCCGCUGAACUUAAGCAUAUCAAUAAGCGGAGGA